rnacentral:rRNA from 1 species
AUUGAACGCUGGCGGCAGGCCUAACACAUGCAAGUCGAACGGUAACAGGAAGAAGCUUGCUUCUUUGCUGACGAGUGGCGGACGGGUGAGUAAUGUCUGUGAAACUGCCUGAUGGAGGGGGAUAACUACUGGAAACGGUAGCUAAUACCGCAUAACGUCGCAAGACCAAAGAGGGGGACCUUCGGGCCUCUUGCCAUCGGAUGUGCCCAGAUGGGAUUAGCUAGUAGGUGGGGUAACGGCUCACCUAGGCGACGAUCCCUAGCUGGUCUGAGAGGAUGACCAGCCACACUGGAACUGAGACACGGUCCAGACUCCUACGGGAGGCAGCAGUGGGGAAUAUUGCACAAUGGGCGCAAGCCUGAUGCAGCCAUGCCGCGUGUAUGAAGAAGGCCUUCGGGUUGUAAAGUACUUUCAGCGGGGAGGAAGGGAGUAAAGUUAAUACCUUUGCUCAUUGACGUUACCCGCAGAAGAAGCGCCGGCUAACUCCGUG